AGUAUGGGUGAAGCAGGUCUGGAAAACUCGGGGACAUCAGUCUGUUACUCAGUCUAAUGAACAGGUCUGAAGCUGGGAAAGGGAACUAUGUAGUACAGACACUAGACAAAGUUACCACAGGGAAGCUGCAGAAUAAGUACGUGGACUGUGGUACGCAGGAACAAGAUCCUGUUAAAGAAACCAAGGAGUAUGCAAAGGAAAACACAUAGAGAAAGCUUCCCGAGGUCAAAACAUUUCCAAAAAUGAGAGAGGGGUUACUGUCAGAUGGUGUAGCGGCUAGGUGAGCUGGAGGAUCAAAUGAUCAUUACAGUUUGACUAGAAAGCAAAGAAAUAUGGGAUUCCAAGGUGUGGACAAUGGAACCUAGCCUAGAUUCCAAGGUGUAGACAAUAGAACCUAGCCUAGAUUCCAAGGCGUGGACAAUGGAACCUAGCCUAGUCAAAAAUUAGCAGUAAGGAUGAGAAGGAGGAAGUUAAGAGCGGUGCUAAAAACACAGCCGCUCUGAGUUCAGCCUUCAAAAAAAAAAAGCCCACAAGUUAUAAGUCAGUUUUGCGACCUGAAAGUACAGGGACAGGCACGAGGGAGUGUGCAGCGAGAGAGGGAAGGCCACGGGCCUGUGUGCUCCACACCCGGCCCACGAGCUCGGGCCCAGGCGCCAUGGCCGCGUGACUGCCCCGCGCCCGCGUCCCGCGCCCUUCCUCCCUGGUAGCCGCUCCGCCGCACCUUGAUACGAUUCAGCACGCCGCUGUUCUCCAGCGUCUGCACCAGCAGGUCGCGCAGCUCCGUGUCCUCCUCAGCCACCACCGCGGCGGUAGUAGCCGCCAUCUUGCUUCUCCAAGACAACCACCCAAGCUGCGCUAACGGCCAACAGCCGCUGCGGAAGCCGCCCGGCGCGCGAGCGCGCAGUCGCAGCCCCGCCCCUCACGCGGAGAAGACCAACGGGGCGGAGCCUCCAGGCAGCAGAGUCUGCAGGUUCCAUGACGUGAAGGGCGGGGCCUCCGUGUACGGUCUGUAGGCGGGGCCACGAGCAUGGGACCGGGUCAGGCUCUGGUGACACGCUCUGUGGCAUAUUAUAAUUAUAUUAGAAAUGUCACUAGGUUGCACUUAAUUCCCCCGUUCCUGUGUGAGAGAGAAGAGUCCACUCCGGCUGAACGUACCGGUCCCUCUAACUGAAGUGGUGGUGGCAGUGGAGAGCCUCUAGGAGGGAAGGAGAAGCGAGCUGCGGGGCAGGGCGGAGACUUCAAGUGGGCGGGAGCCCCAGCCAGACACUAAAAUGGAUAAAGGGAAAAUCUCUCUCCUACAACGCCGAGAAGUGCAGCCAACACUAUCAGCUAAUUGGCCAACGUUACCAUACCCUUUAAGUUAGAGGUUUUUUUUUUUUUUCUUGCUGUGCUGUGCAAGAACCCAAGACCUCCCGCCGAGUUAUAUCUCCGUCUCCUACAUGCUUUUAAAUAUGAACAAUAAGAGAAACUCUUUGAGUGUUUUGUUAUUUACUUCUGCAUUUAACUUCACACUGCCUAGCCUUUUUUUUAUACUUAAUUAUCUUGUUGCUAAGUGCAUGUCUAUGUUAAAUUGAUUGGUUCAAAAGUUGUCACCAUGGUAACAGCAAUACCUGGCACAUUCGAGUGCUGCAGUGGCUGUGGCUGAAGAGUCACAAUUUUAAAAACUACUUCUGAUUGCUGCUAACCCACCUUUUAAAUCGAUGACUUACAUGUAUCCCACACUGAGAAUCUGGCCAGAUUCUAAGCUAUGGUGCUAAGAUAAUUAAAUGGGUGAUGAUAUUAUUUAUCUUUUUUUUUGUUUUGUUUUUUUUAAGAUUUAUUCAUUUUUUUUCUUUUUUUUCUUUUCUUCGGAGCUGGGGACCGAACCCAGGGCCAAGCGCUCUACCACUGAGCUAAAUCCCCAACCCCAAUAUUCAUUUAUUAUAUAUAAGUACACUGUAGUUGUCUUCAGAUACACCAGAAGAGGGCAUCGGAUCUCUUUACAGAUGGUUGUGAGCCACCAUGUGGUUGCUGGGAAUUGAACUCAGGACCUCUGGAAGAGCAGUCGGUGCUCUUAACCGCUGAGCCAUCUCUCCAGCCCGAUAUUAUUUAUCUUUAAAGAUUAUUUUUUCUCACACUGGGGCUAGAAUCAAGGACUUUGAAGCCUGCAAGCUAAGCAUACUCUAAGUCUGGUAGACCUCCAGUCGCCUGCUAGUAGUAUUUUAAUUUUAAAAAUCUAUGCAAGUUCAUUAAAAAAAAUUGUGUGCAUUUGUGUGUGAGGGUCUGGGGUGGUGGUGGGGAGAUGACUCCUGUCAAUAGUGUCUGUCUGCCUUAUAAACAUGAGAUCCUGACUGGAUUCCACAGCUAGGAUUGGUAGGUGUCAGUAAUCCCAGCGCUCAGGAGGAAGUGAGGUCUGAGGCAAGAAGUUAGUCAGCCAGCCUAGGUAAUUGGUUAACUCCGGAUUUAGUAAGAAACUCUGUCUCAAAAGGUGGGGGCUAGAGAGUUGGAUCAGCAGUUAAGAGAACUCUGUUCUUGCAGGUCCAAUUCUUGGCUGUGACGUGGUGGUCCAUGACCAUCUGUAACUUCAGUCCCAAGGGAUCUGAAGCCCUCUUCCAACCGUUGAGGUCAUCAGACACACAGGUAGUGCACAGACAUACAUGCAGGCUAAACAGAUAAAAUAAUAAAAUAAAUCUUAAGAACAAUACGGUAGAGGAAAGCACCUGAGGAAAGCACCCGAUAUCGACUUUGGGUCUCCACACCCCCACCCUGCAACCUAGACAUGUACGUGUUACACACAAAUACACAAACACCUCAAUACCUUCAAAAUGUUAGGAAUUUAAAAAUUAUAAAGAAUGUUAUGAAUUAACUUUCUACUUCAAAAAUGAGAAUAAAGAGAAUGGAUUUUGGACCCGGAGGCACAGGGCUGAGAUCUAGCUGCUUAGAAGGGUGAUGUAGGAGGAUUGCAAUAUCAAGGUCCACACGGGCUACAGAAGUCGUUCAAAGCCUGUGGGCAACUUAGUAACUCAGAGUGCUUGCCUAGCAAUGAACAGAUUCUAAGUUCAGUCUCCUGCACAGAGAGACAUAGGGAAAGUGGGGGAGAAG